rnacentral:rRNA from 1 species
CUACGGGAGGCUGCAGUGGGGAAUAUUGCACAAUGGGCGCAAGCCUGAUGCAGCCAUGCCGCGUGUAUGAAGAAGGCCUUCGGGUUGUAAAGUACUUUCAGCGGGGAGGAAGGGAGUAAAGUUAAUACCUUUGCUCAUUGACGUUACCCGCAGAAGAAGCACCGGCUAACUCCGUGCCAGCAGCCGCGGUAAUGCGGAGGGUGCAAGCGUUAAUCGGAAUUACUGGGCGUAAAGCGCACGCAGGCGGUUUGUUAAGUCAGAUGUGAAAUCCCCGGGCUCAACCUGGGAACUGCAUCUGAACUGGCAAGCUUGAGUCUCGUAGAGGGGGGUAGAAUUCCAGGUGUAGCGGUGAAAUGCGUAGAGAUCUGGAGGAAUACCGGUGGCGAAGGCGGCCCCCUGGACGAAGACUGACGCUCAGGUGCGAAAGCGUGGGGAGCAAACAGGAUUAGAUACCCCUGUAGUC